rnacentral:rRNA from 1 species
UAGGGAAUCUUCCACAAUGGACGAAAGUCUGAUGGAGCAACGCCGCGUGAGUGAUGAAGGGUUUCGGCUCGUAAAACUCUGUUGUUGGAGAAGAACAGGUGAUAGAGUAACUGUUAUCAUCUUGACGGUAUCCAACCAGAAAGCCACGGCUAACUACGUGCCAGCAGCCGCGGUAAUACGUAGGUGGCAAGCGUUGUCCGGAUUUAUUGGGCGUAAAGCGAGCGCAGGCGGUUUUUUAGGUCUGAUGUGAAAGCCUUCGGCUUAACCGGAGAAGGGCAUCGGAAACCGGGAGACUUGAGUGCAGAAGAGGACAGUGGAACUCCAUGUGUAGCGGCGAAAUGCGUAGAUAUAUGGAAGAACACCAGUGGCGAAGGCGGCUGUCUGGUCUGUAACUGACGCUGAGGCUCGAAAGCAUGGGUAGCGAACAGGAUUAGAUACCCUGGUAGUCCAUGCCGUAAACGAUGAGUGCUAAGUGUUGGAGGGUUU